rnacentral:rRNA from 1 species
AACGAACGCUGGCGGUAUGCUUAACACAUGCAAGUCGAACGAGUAUGGCCUAGUUUACUAGGACCCAGCUAGUGGCAAACGGGUGAGUAACGCGUGGGAACCUACCUAAUAGUACGGAAUAGCUGUUGGAAACGACGAUUAAUACCGUAUAUUCCCUGAGGGGGAAAGAUUUAUCGCUAUUAGAUGGGCCCGCGUUAGAUUAGCUUGUUGGUAAGGUAAUGGCUUACCAAGGCAACGAUCUAUAGCUGGUUUGAGAGGAUGAUCAGCCACACUGGAACUGAGACACGGUCCAGACUCCUACGGGAGGCAGCAGUGGGGAAUAUUGGACAAUGGGCGAAAGCCUGAUCCAGCAAUACCGCGUGAGUGAAGAAGGCCUUAGGGUUGUAAAACUCUUUCAGUAGGGAAGAUAAUGACGGUACCUACAGAAGAAGCACCGGCUAACUCCG